rnacentral:rRNA from 1 species
UACGUAGGUGGCAAGCGUUGUCCGGAUUUACUGGGCGUAAAGGGCGUGCAGGCGGUUUGUUAAGUCUAGGGUGAAAGCUCCCGGCUCAACUGGGAGAGGUCCUUGAAUACUGGAAGACUUGAGGCAAUGAGAGGGGUGUAGAAUUCCCGGUGUAGUGGUGAUAUGCGUAGAUAUCGGGAGGAACACCAGUGGCGAAGGCGGCUCUCUGGGCCUUUCCUGACGCUGAGACGCGAAAGCGUGGGGAGCGAACCGG